GAUGAACGCUGGCGGCGUGCCUAAUACAUGCAAGUCGAGCGAACAGACGCGGAGCUUGCUCCUCUGACGUUAGCGGCGGACGGGUGAGUAACACGUGGAUAACCUCCCUAUAAGACUGGGAUCACUACGGGAAACCGGCGCUAAUACCGGAUAAUAUAUUGAACCGCAUGGUUCAUUAGUAAAAGACGGUUGUUCUGUAACUUCUAGCUGGUUCCGCGCCGCAUUAGCUGGUUGGUAAGGUAACGGCUUACCAAGGCGACGAUGCGUAGACGACCUGAGGGGGGGAUCGGCCGCACUGGAGCGGAAACGCCGACCAGGCUCCUACGGGAGGGAGCAGUAGGGAAUCUGACGCAGCGGGCGAAAGCCUGGCGGAGCAGCGCGGCGUGAGUGAUGGAGGUCUUCGGUUCGUGAAACUCUGUUAUUAGGGAAGAACAGAUGUGUAAGGAACUGUGCACGUCUUGACGGUACCGGAUCAGAAAGCAACGGCUAACUACGUG
rnacentral:rRNA from 1 species